CCUACGGGUGGCAGCAGUGGGGGAUAUUGCACAAUGGGGGAAACCCUGAUGCAGCGACGCCGCGUGGGCGAAGAAGUAUUUCGGGUUGUAAACUUCUUUUCUCAGGGACGAAGAAAGUGACGGUACCUGAGGAAUAAGCCACGGCUAACUACGUGCCAGCAGCCGCGGUAAUACGUAGGUGGCAAGCGUUAUCCGGAUUUAUUGGGUGUAAAGGGCGUGUAGGCGGGAGCGCAAGUCAGAUGUGAAAACUCAGGGCUCAACCUCGCUCCGCCGUUGAAACUGGCGUUCUUGAGUGGGCGAGAAGUAUGCGGAAUGCGUGGUGUAGCGGUGAAAUGCAUAGAUAUCACGCAGAACUCCGAUUGCGAAGGCAGCAUACCGGCGCCCAACUGACGCUGAAGCACGAAAGCGUGGGUAUCGAACAGGAUUAGAUACCCCUGUAGUC
rnacentral:rRNA from 1 species